rnacentral:piRNA from 1 species
UCACACACAGGAUGGCUGAUGGAACCA